UUGUGACAUGCUCGGGUGUCACCAAGGAGCGCGGCACAGCACCACAUCAGUAGGCAUCAAGAGACCAAAGGAAAACGAUCCAGCCUGCCAGCUGCCAUUAGAAGCACCACAUGAAGGACUUCACUGGGUCUGUUCGAGAACCUGGCAGCAGUAAACCAGCUCAACAGAGCCAAUAUCUGAAGGCAAUGAACAAGUAAAUGAAAUCCAGGAGCGUUUUAGGCCAUGCCUAAAGCAACCAGGCCCACCUCAAGGUCCUGCCCACCCAUCGCUGAGUUUGCUGCCAGUGAGGUCUGGAGCCCUUCUAGCUGUACAAAUGGCAUUUUGAAACACCUGACACUGCAGUUGGAAUGUGAUAGCCUUAUAAAUCCGCUCACUUCAUACUUUGCUAGUAAGUUCUGUGCUGUGCGCAUUUGCUUCUGAGCAAGUGAAAUAUCUCCAAAGAUAAUAUUUUAUCUUAAAAUGUUACACUGAAAUCUUAUAUCCAUAUAAGAUCAGGAUCCAUGCUUUGUUUUGUUUCUUAAAUGCAUGCUGUUGUGUGCCCACAGCUCACAUGAAAAGCAGUAACAGGGUUAAUACAGUAUUUUCAGUGCUAUAGGAGAAAUCCCAAUAUGAGAACCUUGUAUGUUGUUGAGUGUUUAUGUUUCUGCUUAUACGUUGCCUUAACACGAUAGUGGGUGGGUUGUUGUUGUUUGUUUUGUAAUUUAUUAUCCUCUCACCUUCAAAUCUUCCUAGCUCUUACUGUAUCUCACAACAAAUCCCCAGAUGCAGGAGAGCAGAUAGUGUUCCUCUAGAAACCAGUCUUUUUUUUUUUUUUCCAGAUAGUAAUGCCACAGCUAACACCACUUUGACACAGACUGAGUACAAGUUAUUUAACAUCACCCAUGGUAGAAGACGACAAUGAACUAUAAAUGAAUUUGAUCCCUUCACACCUUCUUUCCUUUAUCCUCCUCUGCACUGAAGCUAAUACCCAGAGCUGCAUGUAAAAUCACUUGGCAGCUGAAUGGCUCAAGCUGCCAAGUUUGGGAAUUAUUCUUUCCCAUCUCGGCAACAGUAGCAGGAAUACUAUCAUGUUUUCUGUCCGUUUCUAGCUACCCCACUGAGAAUCACUGAAUUCAGUUGUCUGUGGAUGCUUGAUGUGCUUCUAGCAGAGGGAAAAAAAAAAGCAAAUCUACUCGAACAGUUUCCCUGUAACU